rnacentral:rRNA from 1 species
GAUGAACGCUGGCGGCGUGCCUAAUACAUGCAAGUCGAGCGAACUGAUUAGAAGCUUGCUUCUAUGACGUUAGCGGCGGACGGGUGAGUAACACGUGGGCAACCUGCCUGUAAGACUGGGAUAACUUCGGGAAACCGAAGCUAAUACCGGAUAGGAUCUUCUCCCUCAUGGGAGAUGAUUGAAAGAUGGUUUCGGCUAUCACUUACAGAUGGGCCCGCGGUGCAUUAGCUAGUUGGUGAGGUAACGGCUCACCAAGGCAACGAUGCAUAGCCGACCUGAGAGGGUGAGCGGCCACACUGGGACUGAGACACGGCCCAGACUCCUACGGGAGGCAGCAGUAGGGAAUCUUCCGCAAUGGACGAAAGUCUGACGGAGCAACGCCGCGUGAGUGAUGAAGGCUUUCGGGUCGUAAAACUCUGUUGUUAGGGAAGAACAAGUACGAGAGUAACUGCUCGUACCUUGACGGUACCUAACCAGAAAGCCACGGCUAACUACGUGCCAGCCGCCGCCGUAAUAC